GCGAGCAUGGUGUAGUCCGGCCAAGCAUUCGGCCCUUUCGAGGCCGCGACCCGGGUUCAAAUCCCGGUGGGGGCA
rnacentral:tRNA from 1 species